rnacentral:rRNA from 1 species
AGCCCCCCUCAAGAUGAGAUUUCCCAAUUCGUAAGACCCCUGGUAGACGACCAGGUUGAUAGGUUCGGGGUGGAAGUGCAGCAAUGCAUGCAGCUGACGAAUACUAAUCGGUCGAGGGCUUAUCCUA